rnacentral:rRNA from 1 species
UGAAUUGACGGGACCCGCACAAGCAGCGGAGCGUGUGGUUUAAUUCGUUGCUACACGAAGAACCUUACCUGGGUUUGACAUAUAGGUUGUAGGGAACUGAAAAGGACCGACCCUUCGGGAGCCUAUACAGGUGUUGCAUGGCUGUCGUCAGCUCGUGUCGUGAGAUGUUCGGUUAAGUCCGCUAACGAGCGCAACCCUCGUCGUAUGUUAUAUGUGUCAUACGAGACUGCCGGUAAAAGCCGGAGGAAGGUGAGGAUGAUGUCAAGUCAGCAUGACCUUUAUAUCCAGGGCUACACACACGCUACAAUGGUCUGUACAAUGGGUAGCCAAGCCGCGAGGCGGAGCCAAUCCUGAAAGCAGGCCUCAGUUCAGAUUGCAGUCUGCAACUCGACUGCAUGAAGCCGGAGUUGCUAGUAACCGCAGGUCAGCAAUACUGCGGUGAAUACGUUCCCGGGUCUU